UACGGGGGAGCAAGCGUUGUUCGGAUUUACUGGGCGUAAAGGGCGCGUAGGCGGUCAGCACAAGUCAGUUGUGAAAUCUCCGGGCUUAACUCGGAAAGGUCAACUGAUACUGUGCGACUAGAGUGCAGAAGGGGCAACUGGAAUUCUCGGUGUAGCGGUGAAAUGCGUAGAUAUCGUAAGGAAGACCAGUGGCGAAGGCGGGUCUCUGGACAGUUCCUGACGCUGAGGCACGAAGGUCAGGGGAGCAAACGGG
rnacentral:rRNA from 1 species